AAACGAAAAAACAAAAUCC
rnacentral:miRNA from 1 species